rnacentral:rRNA from 1 species
CCUACGGGUGGCUGCAGUGGGGAAUAUUGGACAAUGGAGGCAACUCUGAUCCAGCCAUGCCGCGUGAGUGAUGAAGGCCUUCGGGUUGUAAAGCUCUUUAGCUAGGGAAAAUAAUGAUUGUACCUAGAGAAUAAGCCCCGGCUAACUCUGUGCCAGCAGCCGCGGUAAUACAGAGGGGGCUAGCGUUGUUCGGAAUUACUGGGCGUAAAGCGUGCGUAGGCGGCUUUCCAAGUCAGGCGUGAAAUCCCGAGGCUUAACCUCGGAAUUGCGCUUGA